CCCGCCCUUCCACCCUCACCUCGCCUCCUCAGCCUGCGCCCCGCCCCGGCCCCUUGGUCCUCGCCCCGCCUUCCUCAUUUGGCGCCAAAUCCUGUGGUCAACGGCGCGCGGGUUUCCAGGCUCCGCGUUCUGGGCCCGAGUUAGAAUCCUGUCAGCUGAGGACUGGAAAGAAGUGAUUAUUUUUCUUUUGCUCACCUUUCAACAUGAAGGAGGAUCAAGUUGUGGCGGAAGAACCAGGAUUCCAAGAUGAAGAGGUAUGACUAGAAUGUUGAAAGAUACAUAGAUAUUCGGUCAUUCCACAAAAAUCAAGUUCCUUCUCUGUUAGCUACUAUUUUUAGAAACUGAAAGUAGAAAUAACACAUAGUUAUAUAUUGCAAAUAUGCAACAACUUGUUUGGCAAGGAUGCUAAGAUUAGCUACUUAGCAACUGGUAUGAAAGUAUUUUAAUAACUUAACAGCUGGUAUGGCCAUACUGAUACCUGUAUACACUGGUACCGAAUAGCAGCCUGGUCCUAGAGGAAGGAGUUUAGGAUCUGGAGGGGAAGAGGGUUGAGAAAACAUAUUUAAAAUAGGUCAAAUGUUGUUCCAGUCCUUUGGGUAAAGGUUUCAAAAUUUUAGGGAGGACAUGACAAAGGUAACUGGUUUCCCAGCCCUUUCAAUGUUGGUGCUUCUAAGUAUGUGUUUGAAAAACAGUAUUGAUCUUUCCUCAAUCUCUAGAGAAGUGGAAUUUGAGGCAUUUUGGAGUGACUCAUAGUAUUGAAUUACCUCUUUAAAAGAUGUGAAAUAGCUGGAUAUGAAGAAUCAAAGCUUCAUUUUUUUCUGUUUCAUCUCCUUUAGGAAUCUUUGUUUCAAGAUAUUGACCUGUUACAAAAACAUGGAAUUUAAGUUGCUAGGAGGUGGAAUUGAAAGCAUGGCAAUUACAGAAGCUUUUGGAGGUAGGUAGAACCAAAUAUUUUGUUAAAUGAAAUUUUAUACACACACACACACAUCUAUGUGUAUACAUACACAUAUAAUUAAAUAAACAACCAACAAUAAAUUGUAACUAUUUUGGAAAUUAUAAAAUCUCAAUUAUCAUAAUGUGAGAUCAUUCUGUACUGCAACGAAAAUAUAUACCAACAUUAACAGAUGGUUCUUAUCGACAUUUUUCAUCUUUUGUGAUUCUUAUAGAAGAUAAUAGAUUUUUUUUUUUUUUUUUUUUUUUUUUUUUGAUGGCAUCUCGCUCUGUCGCCCAGGCCCAGGCUGGAGUAUAGUGGUGCGAUCUUGGCUCACUGCAAGCUCCGCCUCCUGGGUUCAUGCCAUUCUCCUGCCUCAGCCUCCCGAGUAGCUGGGACUACAGGCGCCCACCACCACGCCCGGCUAAUUUUUUUGUGUUUUUAGUAGAGAUGGGGUUUCACUGUGUUAGUCAGGAUGGUCUUGAUCUCCUGACCUCGUGAUCCACCCGCCUUGGCCUCCCAAAGUGCUGGGAUUACAGGCGUGAGCCACUGAGCCAAUAAUAGAUUUUUUUCACUUAUUUGUUUAAAAGGUAAUUGAAUAAUGAGGCUGAUUUUAUUUAUAGGCAAUAAUGUUCCAUGAACAUAGAGACUAGAUUCUCUCUUCCCCGAUUAUAUCUUCUAUCUUUUUAAAAAAAAUAAUAGAUACAAGGUCUCGUUAUGUUGCCCAAGAUGCUCUUGAACUCCUGGACUCAAGCAUUCCUUCCACCUUGAGCUCCCAAAGUACUGAGAUUACAGGCGUGAGCCACUGCACCUAUCCUAUUGUCUAUUUUUAAAAAGCAAUUCACGCAUAGCUACACUGUGUGUCACAUCUGGGAAUUCCAGUAUUUGCUAUCCUUGGAUAAGUAAAUCUGUUUUUUGUUGUUUUUUUCUGUUGACUUGGGCAUUAAAUCUGGUUUUCAUUAUUUCUGUUGACUCAUCUUAGUGGCUUACCUUCUUCUGUAUUUAUUGGUGUUUCUGAGCUUAUUGUUUGAUUUUAAUCUAUGAGAGUUCAAUGGACCUGGACUGGUAAGUAGGAAAGUUUUCCUCCAGAAAGAAUUUGCUUUUGCUGGUAACUAGGGGAUGGCACCAAUUUGAGACUACUUCAGCUCCCCUUUGAGGACCUCAGUUCAGUAGGGGAGCCCCAGGCUUUCUUUCCUGUGGUAGGGUAUUUUACUUU
ensembl:lncRNA